rnacentral:lncRNA from 1 species
AGCGUGUCGCCGGUCCCGGAUGAGGCGGGGCCGUGCGCCGGAAGUGUGGCGCGAGGCCCGAAUUGCGGCUUCCUAGGUGACGGCGGCACCUGCCAGCCACCGGAAGUGGGACUGGGGCCGUCUGGGAGGGUCUUGGGUGCUAGGGCUGGGGUCUGAGCGGUUUGUUCGUGAGUCCCGCCUCCUCACCUCGAGUACCCCGGUUUCCUGCUCUGUACCCGGAGAGAGGCUGGUCCAGCCCAAAGAUCUCUAAGCGUCCUUCCUGUGGGGCUGGCUGGGGCCCGGAGGAUCUCUAAGCAUCCUUGGACAUAAGGAAGCCUCCUUCCUCCCAGAGACCAUGGCUUCAGCUUCAGACUCGUCCCUGGGCCGGGACAGCUCCUUGCUGGCUGCGGAGCUGAGGGAGGAAGCCAGAGCUGAGGCAGAGGAGGAGAACAGGGGCCUGUGUGAGCAGAUGCUGCUGCAGGCCAUGCAGAAGAUCCUGGAUGCCCAGUCACCCAUGCCUGACUCCAGGCAGAUCCAGCCCAAGCCUGGUAAGGCGAGAGGAGUGGGGGGCAGAGAUGGGGAAAAAAGAGAAAGAAAGAAACAAAACGCAGAGGCAGAGAGGGGCAAAUGGAGACAUGGCCAGAUGAAGAUGGGGAGAAGGAGCAGAC